AAAAAGGUUCAGUUGGCUAAUUAUGCCACAUUCAUCCUUGUUGGUGAGUGUUGUAUGGCUAGCAAGACAUAUGACUGAUAUUAUUUUUGUGAAAUUAUAGGAUUGGCUCGCCAAGCCGACCCUAAAA